rnacentral:rRNA from 1 species
UUCGAAGAGUCGAGUUGUUUGGGAAUGCAGCUCUAAGUGGGUGGUAAAUUCCAUCUAAAGCUAAAUAUUGGCGAGAGACCGAUAGCGAACAAGUACAGUGAUGGAAAGAUGAAAAGAACUUUGAAAAGAGAGUGAAAAAGUACGUGAAAUUGUUGAAAGGGAAGGGCUUGAGAUCAGACUUGGUAUUUUGUAUGUUACUCUCUCGGGGGUGGCCUCUACAGUUUACCGGGCCAGCAUCAGUUUGAGCGGUAGGAUAAGUGCAAAGAAAUGUGGCACUGCUUCGGUAGUGUGUUAUAGUCUUUGUCGAUACUGCC